rnacentral:sRNA from 1 species
GUUUGCACUCAUCGGGGAAGGGUGAGAACCUUCGACUAAGGUUCGAUUCGAGCGAAAGCGAGAGAACGUUGCCACAGGCAAC